UACAGGGGGUGCAAACGUUGCUCGGAAUUAUUGGGCGUAAAGCGCGCGUAGGCGGCUAUUUAAGUCGGAUGUGAAAGCCCUUGGCUCAACUGAGGAAGUGCACCCGAAACUGAAUGGCUUGAGUACCAAAGAGGGUCGCGGAAUUCCAGGUGUAGCGGUGAAAUGCGUAGAUAUCUGGAGGAACACCGGUGGCGAAGGCGGCAUCCUGGACCGAGAUUGACGGCCUGAUGCGCGAAAGCCAGGGGAGCAAAACGGGG
rnacentral:rRNA from 1 species